rnacentral:rRNA from 1 species
UACGUAGGGGGCAAGCGUUGUCCGGAAUCAUUGGGCGUAAAGAGCGUGUAGGCGGCCAGAUAAGUCCGCUGUGAAAUCUCGAGGCUCAACUUCGAGCUGUCGGUGGAAACUGUCUGGCUAGAGUCCGGAAGAGGAGAAUGGAAUUCCUGGUGUAGCGGUGAAAUGCGCAGAUAUCAAGAAGAACACCCGUGGCGAAGGCGGUUCUCUGGAACGCAACUGACGCUGAGACGCGAAAGCGUGGGGAGCAAACAGG